UACAGAGGUGGCAAGCGUUGUUCGGAUUUAUUGGGCGUAAAGGGUCCGUAGGCGGUCCGGAAAGUCAGAUGUGAAAUCCCACAGCUCAACUGUGGAACUGCAUUUGAAACUUCCAGACUAGAGUAUGAGAGGGGUUAAGGGAAUUCCCAGUGUAGAGGUGAAAUUCGUAGAUAUUGGGAAGAACACCGGUGGCGAAGGCGGCUCACUGGCUCGUAUCUGACGCUCAGGCGCGACAGCGUGGGGAUCAAACAGG
rnacentral:rRNA from 1 species